GCCAGUGUGUCCUAGUGGUUUAAGCAUUGGAUUAAAACUCUGGAGACCAGGGUUCAAAUCCCAGCUUGGCCA
rnacentral:tRNA from 1 species